rnacentral:rRNA from 1 species
AGCGUACACGGUGGAUGCCCUGGCAGUCAGAGGCGAUGAAGGGCGUGCUAAUCUGCGAUAAGCGCCGGUAAGGUGAUAUGAACCGUUAUAACCGGCGAUACCCGAAUGGGGAAACCCAGUGUGACUCGUCACACUAUCAUUAACUGAAUCCAUAGGUUAAUGAGGCGAACCGGGGGAACUGAAACAUCUAAGUACCCCGAGGAAAAGAAAUCAACCGAGAUUCCCCCAGUAGCGGCGAGCGAACGGGGAGGAGCCCAGAGCCUGAAUCAGCAUGUGUGUUAGUGGAAGCGUCUGGAAAGGCGCGCGAUACAGGGUGACAGCCCCGUACACAAAAGCGCAUGUGCUGUGAGCUCGAUGAGUAGGGCGGGACACGUGGUAUCCUGUCUGAAUAUGGGGGGACCAUCCUCCAAGGCUAAAUACUCCUGACUGACCGAUAGUGAACCAGUACCGUGAGGGAAAGGCGAAAAGAACCCCGGCGAGGGGAGUGAAAAAGAACCUGAAACCGUGUACGUACAAGCAGUGGGAGCCCCACCACCAAAGCGUUUCGCUUUGUGUGGUGCACAAAGAAGCGUAACGACAGCACUGAAUGACGGUUAACGGAGCGCAAGCGACGUUCAACAUACAAAGUCAAGCAGUGGAGCGCUUUGGGGUGGGGUGACUGCGUACCUUUUGUAUAAUGGGUCAGCGACUUAUAUUCUGUAGCAAGGUUAACCGAAUAGGGGAGCCGGAGGGAAACCGAGUCUUAACCGGGCGUUAAGUUGCAGGGUAUAGACCCGAAACCCGGUGAUCUAGCCAUGGGCAGGUUGAAGGUUGGGUAACACUAACUGGAGGACCGAACCGACUAAUGUUGAAAAAUUAGCGGAUGACCUGUGGCUGGGGGUGAAAGGCCAAUCAAACCGGGAGAUAGCUGGUUCUCCCCGAAAGCUAUUUAGGUAGCGCCUCGUGAAUUCAUCUCCGGGGGUAGAGCACUGUUUCGGCUAGGGGGCCAUCCCGGCUUACCAACCCGAUGCAAACUGCGAAUACCGGAGAAUGUUAUCACGGGAGACACACGGCGGGUGCUAACGUCCGUCGUGAAGAGGGAAACAACCCAGACCGCCAGCUAAGGUCCCAAAGUCAUGGUUAAGUGGGAAACGAUGUGGGAAGGCCCAGACAGCCAGGAUGUUGGCUUAGAAGCAGCCAUCAUUUAAAGAAAGCGUAAUAGCUCACUGGUCGAGUCGGCCUGCGCGGAAGAUGUAACGGGGCUAAACCAUGCACCGAAGCUGCGGCAGCGACGCUUAUGCGUUGUUGGGUAGGGGAGCGUUCUGUAAGCCUGUGAAGGUGGCCUGUGAGGGUUGCUGGAGGUAUCAGAAGUGCGAAUGCUGACAUAAGUAACGAUAAAGCGGGUGAAAAGCCCGCUCGCCGGAAGACCAAGGGUUCCUGUCCAACGUUAAUCGGGGCAGGGUGAGUCGACCCCUAAGGCGAGGCCGAAAGGCGUAGUCGAUGGGAAACGGGUUAAUAUUCCCGUACUUGGUGUUACUGCGAAGGGGGGACGGAGAAGGCUAUGUUGGCCGGGCGACGGUUGUCCCGGUUUAAGCGUGUAGGUGUGUGUUCCAGGUAAAUCCGGUUCACUUUAACACUGAGGCGUGACGACGAGGCACUACGGUGCUGAAGCAACAAAUGCCCUGCUUCCAGGAAAAGCCUCUAAGCAUCAGGUAACAUCAAAUCGUACCCCAAACCGACACAGGUGGUCAGGUAGAGAAUACCAAGGCGCUUGAGAGAACUCGGGUGAAGGAACUAGGCAAAAUGGUGCCGUAACUUCGGGAGAAGGCACGCUGACACGUAGGUGAAGUGAUUUACUCAUGGAGCUGAAGUCAGUCGAAGAUACCAGCUGGCUGCAACUGUUUAUUAAAAACACAGCACUGUGCAAACACGAAAGUGGACGUAUACGGUGUGACGCCUGCCCGGUGCCGGAAGGUUAAUUGAUGGGGUCAGCGCAAGCGAAGCUCCUGAUCGAAGCCCCGGUAAACGGCGGCCGUAACUAUAACGGUCCUAAGGUAGCGAAAUUCCUUGUCGGGUAAGUUCCGACCUGCACGAAUGGCGUAAUGAUGGCCAGGCUGUCUCCACCCGAGACUCAGUGAAAUUGAACUCGCUGUGAAGAUGCAGUGUACCCGCGGCAAGACGGAAAGACCCCGUGAACCUUUACUAUAGCUUGACACUGAACAUUGAGCCUUGAUGUGUAGGAUAGGUGGGAGGCUUUGAAGUGUGGACGCCAGUCUGCAUGGAGCCGACCUUGAAAUACCACCCUUUAAUGUUUGAUGUUCUAACGUGGACCCGUUACCCGGGUUGCGGACAGUGUCUGGUGGGUAGUUUGACUGGGGCGGUCUCCUCCUAAAGAGUAACGGAGGAGCACGAAGGUUGGCUAAUCCUGGUCGGACAUCAGGAGGUUAGUGCAAUGGCAUAAGCCAGCUUGACUGCGAGCGUGACGGCGCGAGCAGGUGCGAAAGCAGGUCAUAGUGAUCCGGUGGUUCUGAAUGGAAGGGCCAUCGCUCAACGGAUAAAAGGUACUCCGGGGAUAACAGGCUGAUACCGCCCAAGAGUUCAUAUCGACGGCGGUGUUUGGCACCUCGAUGUCGGCUCAUCACAUCCUGGGGCUGAAGUAGGUCCCAAGGGUAUGGCUGUUCGCCAUUUAAAGUGGUACGCGAGCUGGGUUUAGAACGUCGUGAGACAGUUCGGUCCCUAUCUGCCGUGGGCGCUGGAGAACUGAGGGGGGCUGCUCCUAGUACGAGAGGACCGGAGUGGACGCAUCACUGGUGUUCGGGUUGUCAUGCCAAUGGCACUGCCCGGUAGCUAAAUGCGGAAGAGAUAAGUGCUGAAAGCAUCUAAG